CAGAAGAGGGGGAACCCCGAUAUAUCCACCAGAUAAGCUAGUGUUCUCCUGGACAAAAUAUUGUUCUCCGGAAUCAGUGAAGGUGGUGAUAUUGGGACAGGAUCCAUACCCUGGACCAAAUAAAGCUCAUGGUCUGAGUUUCAGUGUUCCGGACGGGGUGCCUAUUCCACCUAGCUUAGAUAAUAUUUACCAAGAGCUGACGAACGAUAUUCCAGAAUUCAAACGUCCAGGACAUGGCUCGCUGAUUGGCUGGGCUAAACAAGGUGUCCUUUUGUUGAACACCUAUCUCACAGUGCGAAAAGUGACAAAAGACAAAGACUCUCAUGAUCAAGCUGUACGCCAAUCCUGGGAGCUAUUCACAGAAACUGUUCUGUCCUAUCUCAGCAGCAAAUACCCGUGGCUGGUGUUUAUGCUGUGGGGAGAAGAAGCUAAAAAUAGGAAA